UUUCUCCUCCUCAAAAACGCCGAACCCUAACUCCUUUCCCCGAUCUCCCCUCUGUUCGAACCCGAUCUCCUUCUUCCCCUCUUCUUCUCGCUGCCUCUCUCGCGGACAACUCGACGCCGACGCCACCAAGGGAGCUAAUUGUCGGCGGGCACCUCAUCGUCCCUGAUCAGUCGAGCGGGCCGGGCGAUCGCAUUUCCUCUUGAGCUGUCGCCUCUUUUCGGGUAGUCUCUCGGAGGAGGGAGGGGAGAGUUCAAACCCUAGAUCGCCGGGAGUCGGGAGAUUGCGUCGACGACAGAGGUUGUCCUUGAUUGUCGCCAUCUAGGGCCUGAGAUACCGGCUGUGCCCUAGCUACGAUCCUGGAGGCAAGGAUCAAUUCCUUGAUGUCAGUUCUUGAUCGUCUUCCUUGCUGUUAACUAAGGUCCCUGUUGAGUGAGGAUCUGUUUUGUGGAGUUGAUCUUGGUUUCGGCAACUCUCCAACGACAACUACCCUGUCUGGCAGCAACAUUUCUUGGUGCUGUGGAUCAUCAAUCACGGCAGGUUGAUGCCGUCGGGAGAGAUUCCAGUCGCUAGCCCCUUCGUUAUGAGGAUUUCUUAUUUUAGAUUUCUGUUAUUAUUUCUAUGCAUAUACUGAUGAUGUGGGUUUGUAUUGUGGACAUUGAACAUUCGGGUUUGCUAUUUUUGUUUUCCGCUGCGGAUUUUCUCA